rnacentral:lncRNA from 1 species
CCACACCCUUCAUGGCCAGUGGCUCUAGGUUUAUCCGCUGGAGCUUAAAUCCCACAAAUACUGAUUUAAAAUUCACUAGGAGAAAGGCAGUGCCUCCCAGCCUGAGCCGGGGCUCAAUGAAUGUUAAGAUAUGACUGAUUAUAUCCUCAUUCCAUUAGGGUAGCCAAAAAGGAAAAGAGCCAGCGCCAUUGGGACAAAGGUCACCGACCUCUCAAUCGCCCUGCCCCUUCCACAAAAAGCCUGAGAUGUCAAGUAGGUGGGGGAGGGAGGAGAGCCGGGAGCUCAGGAUUUGAGGAAGGCCAGGCAGUCUCUGCCCCUCGAAUAGCAACGCGAUGAGCUCAGCCCCCUCAGUCCAGGCCGAGAGCCAGAUGGGGGUCACGUGGCCGCGGGGCCCCCCGGGCGCAGGGUCCUCGGCACAGCUGACGGGUGCGCGCCGAGCUCCGCCGGGCGAAGGAAUUCCAGCCCCGCAAAAUGGCUCCAGAGUGUCUCCCGUGACUCGCUCGGUGGCUGCGGAAGGCAAGAGGAGCCCUUUGCUAUGACUCUGAAGGACAAAACAGCUCUGCAACAGCAAAAAUGUUCCUUGAAGAUUAUGAGCCUGUGAUUUUGCAGAGUGUCUCAGAUUGGUUUGUUUGAAGUUUCUGCGUGGUCCAAUUUUGGCAGGAAUAUCAACAAAGUGAAGCUGUUUUCUCCUCACUGCAUCCCGUCAGGACAAUUCUUCACUGAUUAAAAUCUGGUUACAAAACAAGGGACCUAGAGAGAUGUUCACUUCACCACUUCUCUACAGAUGCCUCCUGCUGCUUCCAACUUUUCUCCUUUAAGGCAGGGUGAAUCCAAAUCAUGGUCUUAGCCCUGAAGGAGGCACCAAAGCAGUUUCGUUGCCCUGUGAAAAGCUUCUAGAGGAGCUCAUCUGAAUGCUUGAAGAAACCAGCCGCCCUUGCAAUUACCUAAAAGGAAUUGAGUCAUUUUAACAAGACAUUAUUUCUGCCAUCCACGGUCACAAUCAUCUCUUUGAAAAAUAAAUA